AGAGCGAACGCUGGCGGCAGGCUUAACACAUGCAAGUCGAGCGGGCGUAGCAAUACGUCAGCGGCAGACGGGUGAGUAACGCGUGGGAACGUACCUUUUGGUUCGGAACAACCCAGGGAAACCUUGGGCUAAUACCGGAUAAGCCCUUACGGGGAAAGAUUUAAUCGCCGAAAGAUACGGCCCGCGUCUGAUUAGCUAGUUGGUGAGGUAAUGGCUCACCAAGGCGACGAUCAGUAGCUGGUCUGAGAGGAUGAUCAGCCACAUUGGGACUGAGACACGGCCCAAAACUCCUACGGGAGGCAGCAGUGGGGAAUAUUGGACAAUGGGCGGCAAAGCCUGAUCCAGCCAUGCCGCGUGAGUGAUGAAGGCCCUAGGGUUGUAAAGCUCGUUUUGUGCGGGAAGAUAAUGACGGUACCGCAAGAAUAAGCCCCGGCUAACUUCGCGCCAGCAGCCGC
rnacentral:rRNA from 1 species